rnacentral:tRNA from 1 species
GGGGAUAUAGCUCAGUGGUAGAGCGCUUGCCUAGCAAGCACAAGGCCCUGGGUUCGGUCCCCAGCUCA